UACAGAGGGUGCAAGCGUUGUUCGGAAUUAUUGGGCGUAAAGCGCGUGUAGGCGGCUUGGCAAGUCAGUUGUGAAAGCCCGGGGCCCAACCCCGGAACUGCAUCUGAAACUGCCUGGCUAGAGUCCCGGAGAGGAAGGCAGAAUUCCCGGUGUAGGGGUGAAACUCCGUAGAUAUCGGGAGGAAUACCAGCGGCGAAGGCGGCCUUCGUGGGACGGU
rnacentral:rRNA from 1 species